rnacentral:rRNA from 1 species
CCUACGGGUGGCAGCAGUGGGGAAUAUUGCACAAUGGGGGAAACCCUGAUGCAGCGACGCCGCGUGAGUGAAGAAGUAUUUCGGUAUGUAAAGCUCUAUCAGCAGGGAAGAAAAUGACGGUACCUGAUUAAGAAGCCCCGGCUAACUACGUGCCAGCAGCCGCGGUAAUACGUAGGGGGCAAGCGUUAUCCGGAUUUACUGGGUGUAAAGGGAGCGUAGACGGCAGCACAAGUCUGGAGGGAAAUGCCGGGGCUUAACCCCGGAACUGCUUUGGAAACUGGGCAGCUAGAGUGCAGGAUGGGUAAGUGGAAUUCCUAGUGUGGCUGUGAAAUUCGUAGAUAUUAGGAGGAACCCCAGUGGCGAAGGCGGCUUACUGGACUGUAACUGACGUUGAGGCUCGAAAGCGUGGGGAGCAACCAGAUUUAGAUCCCCGA